AUGUAAGCAAGUCAAGGUCUGUUUCAUUAGCACCAUUGGUCAUGUGCUAGCAUUUGUUUUGAAUCGAGAAUAAUGUUAUUUAAAUUGUGAAUCUCAAAAUAUUAUAUUCCCAACAAAAAAAGUACAUGAUUUAAAACAAGAAUGAAUACAGCUACAUAGAUGCCUUUAAAAGCAGAAUAAGUGUUCAUAAAUUCAGCUUCACAAUAACAAAAUUAUUUUUAGAUUUAGUUUGUAUGUGAAUUAAUUUCGUAAAAUAUUUUUAACAUGGCUUUUUCCUGUUUUGUGUACAUUUUCAGUUUGUUUGCCGCUGUACAAUAUUGAAUGAAAUGCCUUGUUUUUAACAAUUAGUUGCACUUUCACUCACACACUCACAUUGCUUCAAACAUGCCCUUACCAGGGCAACAGAGCCAGUGAAGAGGCUAUUGGCUGAUUUCCAUAGACUGCAUAGAGGACACAUAGGGACAGCGCCAAAAUCAGCUUUUAAAAAGAAGUCUCAUGAAAAUAAGAAAUCAGAUUGGGCGACGUACGUGUCGACUCAGCUGACGGCGUGGGAGUCGCUCAACCAGAUGUGGUUGACGCGCUUCCCCGGCCCGCUGCACAUCGUGUUCUAUGAGAUCCUGGUACGUGACACUCGGAACACGCUGCAGGGGAUACUCGACUUCUUGAGCUAUAAUGUUACUGAGACCGCAAUGAACUGCGCAAUGGCAAACAAGGAAGGUAUAUACAGACGCAAGAAGAAGUACCAAGACUUCGAACCGUUCACAGCAGACAUGUACAAAGCACUCGACCAGGUUCGGAAUCGCGUGCUCAGCAUGGUCAUGGACUAUAAGAGGAAACAUAGCAAUGUACUGCAGGUAGGGUAUGUAUGAAUCGUUCUAGAAUGUGGUACUAUAUAGGAAAGGCAGAAGGUCUACUCUUUAAACUUGAAUCUUGUUCAAUAAAUGCACAAUUUUUCGGGCCUAAUUUAAUUACGGUAAUAGAAGAUAGAUAAGAUGUGUACUUAUUUAAUUCUCACGUUGUAAUAAUGUAAUGGUUAUUUUUUCGAGUUAUGUUU